rnacentral:rRNA from 1 species
AGAGCGAACGCUGGCGGCAUGCUUAACACAUGCAAGUCGCACGGCUGGGGUAACUCAGCAGUGGCGGACGGGUGAGUAACGCGUAGGUAUCUAUCUCCGGGUGGGGGACAACUGUGGGAAACUACAGCUAAUACCGCAUGAAACCCGAGGGUCAAAGCAGCGAUGCGCCUGGAGAGGAGCCUGCGUACGAUUAGCUUGUUGGUGGGGUAAUGGCCCACCAAGGCGACGAUCGUUAGCUGGUCUGAGAGGAUGAUCAGCCACACUGGGACUGAGACACGGCCCAGACUCCUACGGAGGCAGCAGUGGGGAAUAUUGGACAAUGGGCGCAAGCCUGAUCCAGCAAUGCCGCGUGAGUGAAGAAGGUCUUCGGAUUGUAAAGCUCUUUCGACGGGGACGAUGAUGACGGUACCCGUAGAAGAAGCCCGGCUAACUUCGUGCCAGCAGCCGC